GAUGAACGCUAGCUACAGGCUUAACACAUGCAAGUCGAGGGGAAACGGCAUCGAAAGCUUGCUUUUGAUGGGCGUCGACCGGCGCACGGGUGAGUAACGCGUAUCCAACCUGCCCAUCACUUGGGAAUAACCUUGCGAAAGUAAGACUAAUGCCCAAUGACAUCCCACGAAGGCAUCCGAAUGGGAUUAAAGAUUUAUCGGUGAUGGAUGGGGAUGCGUCUGAUUAGCUUGUUGGCGGGGUGACGGCCCACCAAGGCAACGAUCAGUAGGGGUUCUGAGAGGAAGGUCCCCCACAUUGGAGCUGAGACACGGUCCAAACUCCUACGGGAGGCAGCAGUGAGGAAUAUUGGUCAAUGGGCGAGAGCCUGAACCAGCCAAGUAGCGUGCAGGAUGACGGCCCUCUGGGUUGUAAACUGCUUUUAUAAGGGCAUAACGUGGGUCACGUGUGACUUUUUGCAUGUACCUUAUGAAUAAGGACCGGCUCAUUCCGUG
rnacentral:rRNA from 1 species